UGGAGGCUCUGAAGGGGAGGAGAACGAGGUCACUGGAGACACGUGGAGCUGAGGUGGAGAGCAGGUGGAGAUGAGGAGGCUGUAAAGUGAUGACGUGGAGAUGAAGUGGAGAUGAAGUGGAGAUGAGGAGGCUGUAAGGUGAAGAUAACGUGGAGAUGAAGUGGAGAUGAAGUGGAGAUGAGGAGGCUGUAAGCUGGAGAUAACGUGGAGAUGAAGUGGAGAUGAAGUGGAGAUGAGGAGGCUGUAAGGUGGAGAUAACGUGGAGAUGAAGUGGAGAUGAAGUGGAGAUGAGGAGGCUGUAAGGUGAAGAUAACGUGGAGAUGAAGUGGAGAUGAGGAGGCUGUAAGCUGGAGAUGAAGUGGAGAUGAAGUGGAGAUGAGGAGGCUGUAAGCUGGAGAUAACGUGGAGAUGAAGUGGAGAUGAAGUGGAAAUGAGGAGGCAGUAAGGUGGAGAUGACGUAGAGAUCAAGUGGAAAUGAGCUGGAGAUAACCUGGAGAUGAAGUGGAGAUGAAGUGGAGAUGAGGAGGCUGUAAGCUGGAG